AAUGAGUAAAAAUAAAUAAAUAAUAAUCAAGGUUCAUGGUCUCAGAAGGAACAGCCAUCAGGGAGCUUUUCGGGUUUCGAAUCCGCCUCUGAGUUAACAAGCUCAACUUCCAUCAAAACAAGAAUCAAGUGGACAAUCGAUCUUCAAAACAAGUUUGUAGAGUGUGUGAAUCACCUAGGUGGCCACAUGAGUAUGACCUCUUCAUCAUGCAUAUAUCCCUAUACGUAUACGUGUGUGAUUAAUUUCGUUAAUGAAUAAAUCAUAAUUUAACUUUUAUUUCCCAAUUUAUUCUUGAACUCGUAGAAGCGACACCAAAGGGGAUCUUAAAUCUCAUGAGAACACGUGAAUUGACGAUCUACCAUGUCAAGAGUCAUCUUCAGGUAAGUACCACAUCAUUUUUCCAUUUCAGAUUAUAUAUGAUUCAUUCUUACCUAAUCUCCUUUUGUAUUCAUCCAAAUCAGAAAUAUCGAUCACUGAAGCAUGUUCAAGAUUCCAGACAAGGUAAAGUCAUAGAUCUUAUUGUUAACUCUCUCAUUGACUCAUUGAUCCCCCAAAACUAAGCAAUAAAUAUUCUUCAACUUCUUUUUUUUUUUUUUUUUAAUGAUUAUGCAGAAACAAGAUUCAAAGAAGAUGAUAUUCAUCAGAAGGAUUCAACAAUCAAGGACUUGAUGAGACUGCAUGAUGAAGUAGGAAAACAUCUCCAAGAGCAAUUAGAGAUGCAGAGAGAAUUGUACUUGUUGGUUGAAGAACAAAAUAAACAACUCCACGAGAUGAUCAAAUAUCAAAAAGGAAAGAACUUGUAAUACCUUUUUUAAGGCUAUAUAUCUAUCAUGAGUUUUAAGAAGAAUCUGCAAAUCAUAUGUAUACUCAUUCAAUGGCAUGCCUGUAAAUUAUUAACAAAACAAAUGUUUUUCUUAUUUUCUUA